UGUGCGGGGUGCUACCAUGCAAGUCGAACGUGAUCCGCCCUUCGGGGUGGUGAAAGUGGCGCACGGGUGAGUAACGCGUGGAUAAUCUGCCCGAGGAUUUGGGAUAACAUCUCGAAAGGGGUGCUAAUACCGAAUAAGCCCACGGGGUCUACGGAUCUUGCGGGAAAAGGGGGGGACCUUCGGGCCUCCUGUCCUUGGAUGAGUCUGCGUACCAUUAGCUAGUUGGUGGGGUAAUGGCCUACCAAGGCGACGAUGGUUAGCUGGUCUGAGAGGAUGAUCAGCCACACUGGAACUGAGACACGGUCCAGACUCCUACGGGAGGCAGCAGUGGGGAAUUUUGCGCAAUGGGGGAAACCCUGACGCAGCAACGCCGCGUGGGUGAUGAAGGCCUUCGGGUCGUAAAGCUCUGUCUGGAGGGAAGAAAUGAUUGGGAGCUAAUACCUCUUGAUCUUGACGGUACCUCUGAAGGAAGCACCGGCUAACUCCGUGCCAGCAGCCGCGGUAAUACGGAGGGUGCAAGCGUUGUUCGGAAUUAUUGGGCGUAAAGCGCGUGUAGGCGGUCUUUUAAGUCUGAUGUGAAAGCCCCGGGCUCAACCUGGGAAGUGCAUUGGAAACUGGGAGGCUUGAGUACGGGAGAGGAGAGUGGAAUUCCUAGUGUAGGAGUGAAAUCCGUAGAUAUUAGGAGGAACACCGGUGGCGAAGGCGGCUCUCUGGACCGAUACUGACGCUGAGACGCGAAAGCGUGGGUAGCAAACAGGAUUAGAUACCCUGGUAGUCCACGCCGUAAACGAUGAGUACUAGUGUUGCGGGUAUUGACCCC
rnacentral:rRNA from 1 species